rnacentral:lncRNA from 1 species
AAAUACUUAAAACCGAACUCCUAUAUAUAUAGCAAAAAUAUACAUGAUACAACUCAAAAACAAAUAUCGCACUGACACAUGAAUCACAAGACAAAUAGUAACACCACAAAUAUAACAAACAAACAAAACUAGAAAAGAUAGACACGAUAAAACAAUAUUAAACAAUCUUACAAGCUCAAAUAAAAUAUUAAAUAUACAUA